GAUUCGUAAUGUAUAAUUUAUUUAAUACCUGACCUUUUGUGGCAAUGGCAAACAAUUUAAAUCCUUAACACGUGUCCUUCCCACACCAUAUACAAUCCACGGUUAAUGAGUUACAACCGUUUGUUUUAUUAUUAAAUAUUAAUUCUACGUAACCUUGAUAUAGGUACAUCAUAACGUGUACUGAUAUUAUUUUUGAGCGCAAUGAAAAUAAACACACACAACCCAUUGGUGAAUCGAAGUGUAUACGCAGCU